rnacentral:rRNA from 1 species
UCCCAUAAACCGUGGCUCAGUUCAGAUCGUAGGCUGCAACUCGCCUACGUGAAGGUGGAAUCGCUAGUAAUCGCAGGUCAGCAUACUGCGGUGAAUACGUUCCCGGGCCUUGUACACACCGCCCGUCACACCAUGGAAGUUGGCCACGCCGAAGCCGUUACUCCAACCCUUGUGGAGGAGGACGUCGAAGGUGGGGCUGAUGACUGGGGUGAAGUCGUAACAAGGUAUCCAUACCGGAAGGUGCGGAUGGAUCACCUCCUAA